AUAGAUUAGCUCUGGACUACCGAUUAGCAGUAGAGGGAGGUGUAUGCGGAAAGUUUAAUCUCAGUAACUGUUGUUUGCACAUAGAUGAUGAAGGGCGAGAAGUGGCUGAACUUACAAGCCACAUGGUUAAACUGACGCAUGUAGCUACUCACGUCUGGAAUGGGUAUAAUCCUAGUAGUUGGUUUGGAAGUUGGUAUGAGCAGCUUGGAGGGAUUAAGGCGUUAGUAGGAGG